GGCACUGUGGCGGAGUGGUUAACGCGACAGAUUCGAAUUCGUAGUCAUCUGUUCCUCUUGUAGGGCGCACGUUCGAAUCGUGCCAGUGUCG